UCACUGGUGGCUUAGCUGGUAAAGAAUCCACCUGCAAUGUGGGAGACCUGGGUUCAAUCCCUGGUUUGGGAA
rnacentral:tRNA from 1 species